AGGGUUUGAUUCUGGCUCAGAAUCAACGCUGGCGGCGUGCCUAACACAUGCAAGUCGAACGAGAAAGUGGAGCAAUCCAUGAGUAAAGUGGCGACCGGGUGAGUAACACGUGACCAAUCUACCCUCGAGUGGGGGAUAACUCCGGGAAACCGGAGCUAAUACCGCAUAACAUCUUUGGAACUCAGGUUCCGAUGAUCAAAGGAGCAAUCCGCUUGAGGAGGAGGUCGCGGCUGAUUAGCUAGUUGGCGGGGUAAUGGCCCACCAAGGCGAAGAUCGGUAGCCGGCCUGAGAGGGCGCACGGCCACACUGGAACUGAAACACGGUCCAGACUCCUACGGGAGGCAGCAGUGGGGAAUUUUGCGCAAUGGGGGAAACCCUGACGCAGCAACGCCGCGUGGAGGAUGAAGUCCCUUGGGACGUAAACUCCUUUCGACCGGGAAGAUUAUGACGGUACCGGUGGAAGAAGCACCGGCUAACUCUGUGCCAGCAGCCGCGGUAAUACAGAGGGUGCGAGCGUUGUUCGGAAUUAUUGGGCGU
rnacentral:rRNA from 1 species